CACAGGAUGUGACUUUGCAGACCAGAAAUGUGUUUUUCUUCAGUUCCUAACAAAUCAAAGCUCUCCUCUUUAAAAAGCUAGACUUUAGCUUAGUAUCUGAUGGGUGUAUCUGCUCUUCUCAACAGAAUAUGCUGACACUUCUGUCAAAGCAUUUUUCACAAAGGCCAAGAUAUGGAAUCAACCUGAGUGUCCACAGACAGAUGAAUGGAUAAAAGGAGGAAAUCCUGCCAUUUGCAACAACAUUGAUAAAACUGGAGGACAUUAUGCUGAAUGAAAUAAGCCAGGCCCAGAAAGGCAAAUCUUGCAUGAUCUCAUUUGCAUGUGGAAUUUUGAAACGUCAGAGUCAUCAAAACAGAGUAGAAUGGUGAUUGCUAGAGGCUAGGGAUUGGGAGAAAUGGGGAGAUGUUGGUCAAAGUGUAAAAAGUGUCAGUUAUGCAGAAUAAGUAUGUUCAGGAGAUCUGAUGUACAGCAUGGUAACUAUAGUUAAUAAUACUGUAUUUUAUUUACUUGAGAUUUGCUGAGAGAGUAGAUCUUGUGUUCUCACAACAACAAAAAAAGUGGUAACUAUGUGAAGUGAAGAAUAUGUUAAUUAGCUUGAUUGUCAUAAUCACUUUACAGUGUAUGUGUUUAUCAAAAUAUCAUAUUUAAUACAGUACAUACAUUCAUUUCUGUCAAUUAUGCCUUAAUAAAUCUGGAAAAUUUUAAAAAACAGAGGCAGAAAGGUAGAGGCCUCUAAUUUUAAAAACAUAAUAUUAAUUGAAGAUGAAAACAGGUGUAAAGGAGGCAAUGAAUUCAAAAGCAGAGAGAACUCGGGAGUGAAAGCAGGGUAAUA
rnacentral:lncRNA from 1 species